rnacentral:pre_miRNA from 1 species
UGAAGCUAAAUAGUGGUGACUGCUGUGGGGUCUAUGAUUGCGAGCAAAAGUAAGAAUCCGUAUGGAGAAUCCGCAGGAGAUGCUAUACGAUAGUUUGGCGAUAGUUUGGCCAAACUAUCGUAUAGAAUCCUCGACGGGUUCUCCAUACGGAUAUUUACUUUUGCUCGCAUGGAUUGACAUCUUCUCAGCACACACAGACCCCACAGCAGUCACCACUAGCUUCAA